CAGCCGCCGCGGUAAUACGUAGGGUGCAAGCGUUAAUCGGAAUUACUGGGCGUAAAGCGUGCGCAGGCGGUUCGUUAAGACAGAUGUGAAAUCCCCGGGCUUAACCUGGGAACUGCAUUUGUGACUGGCGAGCUAGAGUAUGGCAGAGGGGGGUAGAAUUCCACGUGUAGCAGUGAAAUGCGUAGAGAUGUGGAGGAAUACCGAUGGCGAAGGCAGCCCCCUGGGCCAAUACUGACGCUCACGCACGAAAGCGUGGGGAGCAAACAGGAUUAGAUACCCGCGUAGUCCCUGUCUCUUAUAC
rnacentral:rRNA from 1 species